UAUGCUUUAAAUGUGUGCGUUGGGGAGGGAAUACAGGUUGUGACAAACUUUCCUUAUGACUAAAUUAGUAUUUCUUAGGCUGUUAGCUAUAUUUUCCCAAAUGCCUUUCUUUCCCCUCGGUGCAAACAGACUCAAAUAGAGCUACACCAAAAUAACAGGAGUGCCCAGUGUUGAGCAAGCUUACAUGUUUAAAAAGGUCCAAGUUCUGAAUUGAUAGAUUUAAACCUUCAGCACCUCAGGCUGGAUGCACUUGGGGUGUAUCUCUGUGCAGUGAUGCUGCUGCAGUUACACGUGUGGUGAGUGGGGCAGAGCCUCCUGCUGCUCGAGGAAGUGGGAGUGGGAGAGUUCUUUCACUGUUGUAAGAAAAUGGGAAUAACAUUUUGUGGUGAAAUGUAUGGCAUUUUAUCUGGUGACAGGCUCUGUGUUCUGUCACAGACUAUAGCUGCUAUUUUAAAAAAAAUGGACCAAAAGGAAAACUUUUACAGACCAACGCUGAAUUUUUUUGAGGAGGUGUUCAUUCCAAUUUUUCCUUAGGAAGAAGAGGGAUAUUCCAAGUUCACCGUGAGGGCUCUCCUGUGCAGAAUGUGGGCAAAGCGCCCCAUGCCUCUGCUUCCUGGGGCCAAGCUGCUCUUCUGGCAGGAGGCUCAGAAUAAGUGGUUGCAAGGAAGGCAAGAACCUAACUCACACCGAGGAUAGAUUGAAAAUAACAACUUGUCAGUCGCACACAGCCUGCACACAAACAGAGCAGCUGCUAAGCUGGAAAAGUCAUUGCACAAACAAAUGGAGCCCAAAAUGAUGGUUUUAAGGUCUCAGCAGUACUCAGUGCAAAAAUGUACAAGAAGAGGUAGUGUGUGCUGUGAAGGCUGUGACUGAACAACACAAAAGGAAACCCUCAGCCACAAACAAGGACAGAAAGAUGCCAGGGCAGACGUUGGACAGCAUGGCCUUCAUUCUCCUUCAUUUCAGCAUGGCAACGCUCUCCUGGGCAGCCCAG